rnacentral:rRNA from 1 species
AUGGCGGCAUCCGGUGCUGCUUUGUGCCUCUCCGUUGUCCUGCUCCUCGUCGCCGUCUGCUGCCGCUCCGACGUCGACUUCAUCUACCAGGGCUUCCAGCACGCGCCCAACCUGAGCCUGGACGGGUCGGCGUCGGUGCUGCGCGGCGGCGCGCUCCAGCUCACCAACGGCAGCGAGCGCCUCGUCGGCCACGCCUUCUACGGCUCCCCCGUGGCUCUGGGCACGCUCGACAACCAGGGAGACCUCGCGGUCACCUCCUUCAGCACGGCCUUCGUCUUCGACAUCGUGACCAUCGGCACCGGCGGCGGCCACGGCCUCGCCUUCGUGGUGGCCCCGUCCAGGGCGCUCCCCGGGGUGUCGCCGGAGAUCUACCUCGGCGUCCUCGGGCCGACCACCAACGGAAAGGCCUCCAACCACGUCUUCGCCGUCGAGUUCGACACGGUCACCGACCUGGAGAUGAAGGAGACCAACGGCAACCACGUCGGCGUCGACGUCAACAGCCUCGUGUCCAACGUGUCCGAGCAGGCCGCGUACUACACCACCGGCGCCGACGGGGAGGACAGGAAGAUGCCCGUGAAGCUGGAGAGCGCACAGCAGAUCCAGGCGUGGAUAGACUACGACGGCGGUACCAGCUUGCUCAACGUGACCGUCGCCCCGGUGUCCGUGACUGACCGACCGCAGCGGCCGCUCAUAUCGACAAAGCUUGAUCUCCGGUCGGUCUUCAAGGAGAACAUGUACAUCGGCUUCUCUUCAGCGACCGGGAAGCUCGCGAGCUCGCACUACAUCCUGGCAUGGAGUUUCCGGACUAAUGGGCUCGCCCAGCCCAUUGAUCUCCGGCGGCUGCCGAAGGUCCCGAGGCAGAGAACGCCGGCUCCCAAGGUCCUCAUCAUCAAAUUUGCCGCCGUGGCUUGUGCAGGGACACUCGCUUUGGUUGCCGCGGCGAUGGUUACUGCGCUCUGGCUCCGGCAUAGGGCGGCGCUCGCCGACAAGAUGGAGGACUGGGAGCUAGAACACCCCCAGAGGAUUCCAUACAUCGAGCUCUACAAGGCGACCAAGGGGUUCAAGGAGAGCGGGCUUCUCGGCUCGGGUGGUUUCGGCCACGUGUACAAAGGUGUGCUCGGACGUCGUCGGUCCGGCUCCGGCUCCGGCUCCGCGUCCGGCGAGGAGGUGGCCAUCAAGCGGAUCUCCAGCGGCACCAAGCAAGGGAUGAGGGAGUUCGUGGCGGAGAUCUCGAGCCUCGGGCGGAUGCGCCACCGUAACCUGGUGGAGCUGCGCGGGUGGUGCAAGCAUGGCGAUGACCUGCUCCUCGUCUACGAGUUCAUGCCCAACGGCAGCCUCGACGCGCACCUGUUCGGCGGGGGCAAGGUGCUCACGUGGGCGCAGCGGCUCAGCGUCAUCCGGGGCGUGGCGCGCGGCCUGCUGUACCUGCACGAGGAGUGGGAGCACGUGGUGGUGCACCGCGACGUGAAGGCUAACAACGUGCUGCUGGGCGCCGACAUGGGCGCGCGGCUGGGCGACUUCGGCCUGGCACGCCUCUACGAGCACGGCGCGGCCCCGGGCACCACGCGCGUGGCCGGCACCCUGGGGUACAUGGCCCCCGAGCUCACCGUGACCAGUCGAGCCACCACGGCCACCGACGUCUUCUCCUUCGGCGCGCUGCUGCUCGAGGUCGCGUGCGGCCGCCGGCCCGUCGAGCCGGGCGAGGCGGCGGACGUGAUCCUUGUGCGGUGGGUCCGGGACUGCGGGCUGGACGGCGACCUGAUGCGGGCCGUGGAUCCGAGGCUGGAUGGGUGCUACGACGCCGCGGAGGCGAGGCUGGUGCUGUGGCUGGGCAUGGUGUGCAGCCAGGGCCGGCCUGAGGCGAGGCCAAGCAUGAGGCAGGUCUGCCAGUUCCUCAACGGCGAGGAGGUGCUGCCGGAGGACGCCGUGCUCGUGUUCUCGGAUCCUGACUCGUCCGUGUUCCCUGGGUCCGUGCUCUCCUCCAUGACCUGGUCCUCCUCCUGUGGCACCAUGUCGGUCGGCUCGCUGCAUGGCGGCCGGUGA